GUCUACGGCCAUACCACCCUGAAUGCGUCUGAUCUCGGAAGCUAAGCAGGGUCGGGCCUGGUUAGUACUUGGAUGGGAGACCGCCUGGGAAUACCAGGUGCUGUAGGCU
rnacentral:rRNA from 1 species